UGAGACACUAGCUACUUUGCACCUAACUUGCGCACGGAAACAAACUGUAUACUGAGUAUAUACUCAGUGGUAUUUCUAUAAACUAGCACAUAAAACGUUAAUAAAUAAUUCAUACAUUUAAAUCCUAAGUCUUUACUUUCAUGAUCUUAACGGUUUGUUUACUCAACUUUAACUCUUAGCUCUUUAAAUGUAGUUAAACAAUUUUUUUACAUAUUUCAUAUCAUUUGACAUCUUUCAUCAAUCGUACAUCAGUCAUAG
rnacentral:lncRNA from 1 species